rnacentral:lncRNA from 1 species
CGUAUUUUUCUACAUUUUUGUCACAUAUUUUUUUUUUUUUUUAUAAAGAUUGGCUAGCUAGAAGAAAUUUAUAUGUUACUAUGAAUUAACUUUUUAAAAAAGAAAAUGCAAGUAUGUCAUCUCUUCCUUAAUUACUACAUAUAUAUUGCAUGCAAAAAAAUGGUGACCAAAAAGAUUAAUAAAUUUGUCCUAAACUCGUAAUGUGACGUGGAAUGACGUUUAUAUUUCCAGGGCGUUCUAGAAUACGUUAGAACUUAAAUCGACUCUAUCAACUGUUUUUGAUAAAAAAAAAUGGUUGGUUUGGUGUAGUUACAAUUUACAAACAAGUAUUCGUCAAAGAUUAUUAUAUGAUCAGUUUAUUUUUUUAUUUUUCACAAGUCUCUCAUU